UCUGGCGAUAUGAUUGGUUAAGGGAUUUGUGGCGCGAAUUUCUUUUACUACAUGAAGGAAAAAUCAAGAGUUGACGUCUCCCUCCACUAGAGGAAAAACAGCAGGAAGCACUAUGCGUCGUUGAUCUUGACGUCGUCUAAAGGAGAAACUACUGGAUCAUCUGAGAUGGAGGGAGAGAAGUACGUGCAACUGGGGUGAAAGCAGCCGACUGCUGAUGGCCAAUAUGACCCCAAGGACCACGAUGGCAUGGACAUGGGACAUGGAUGGGUAGCUUCUGGAUGAAGAAGA